AGCUGCUUUGAGGACAGGGAGCUGAGGUUGCCAAAUUUACAGCUGCCUUGCACAAUUACUCUUACACCUCCUUCAGGGCUACUUAGAACCACCAUAACACAAAGACAACAUCAUGGCUGGAUCCACGACUUGCGAAAAAGGCUAAACCUCCAGAAGAGUGCAAAGAAAAUGAGGAAGCAGGUUUUAUUGAUGGGUUGUCUCCUGAAACCAGAAAGACUAUGUACUCUAUUCCAGUUACCCCCAUGCCUCCAGGACCACAUGUUGUUCCACUUGAGGGGAGGAUAAAAAUUGCCUCUUGAUUUUCCAAAGCCCAGUCUUUCCCUUCCCUGUGCAGCCUUAGAAACUCCGUAGCAAUGCUGUUUGGUAUUUUGGCUUUUUUUUUUUUCCCCGUCCUGCUGCAGCUACUUCGUGUCAACUAGAGGUGGAAGGUGUCCCGGGAAGCAGUUAGAUGAGUUAAGUGUGAUACACAGGAGAACAGGACCGUAGCCUAUCAAAAGUCCCUCUGCCCUGCCUCAGUGUAUUGGUCCUUCGUUGGUUACAUUUCUCUUUGUGCUGGAAUACCCUCUUCUGAAUCAGAUCAGGGAUUUCCACUGUCAGCCAUGGACCCGGCCCCAGAGCCAUGAAAUGAGCUAGUUCAAAUUUGGGUACGUUACUGGCCCACAAAGAUUUGAAAUGAUCUGUCAGGCAAUUUUGCCACCUCUGUACAUCUUUGCUGUCUUUCUGUCGAGCUCAGGGACAGCAAUUUCUAGGGCAGUAGUAAGAUACAUGAUAGGAACUUCAAACUUGACGUCAAACUCACAUUUCAGGAGGCCAUGGAUAUACCAACAUUUUCCAAACCACCGAGUCCCUACCUUGCUGGACUCCAGUUGGAACCAUCGUUGUCGCCAUUGUUGUUGUUCUCCACAUACCAGAUAAUUGACUGAUAUUCCUCUUUCAAUCACUGUACCCACAACUCCCAAUCUUGGGGUCCUGCAUUAGUCUUCAGUGCCAGAGUCUCAGACACAACAUGUCAGGUGGCCUCAUCUGCCAUCUUGGGCCAGGGCGAGUUUUGUAUACUUUCACAUAACAAAAUAUUCUUCUUCUUUUGAUUUUUCCUCAACUACUCGAAAAUGUGUAAACUGUUCUUAGCCCACUGGCCACACAAAAAUUGGGGCGGGCUGAAUUUGAUCCACAGGACAAACCCUAUCCUACCAUGUUUGUGUGGGACUCUACUCUUGGCAGGUCUUGAACACCAAUAUUUUUAAAUAUUUUUCUUCUCAGGAUUGCCAGACUCCCAAAACUCGGAGGUGGUUUUCAGGAGAUUUAGCUUAACUCUUUUGCCUCUAGAUCCUGCAGCUCCAGAAUUGACAAAUGUCAGGAGAUAACUGACUGACUGUUUGAAAUCUCUCAUAUCUAUGUUUGUCACUCCAGUCCCUCAAGAUUCCUCACUCUUUCGGUUUCUUUAAUGUCCAGCAGCGGCCUUCUUCCCAGGCCAAGUCUAUACUGUUCUAAGAGCCCAGACACAACAAGAGCAGCUGCAAAUUCUUCCUUCACCUCUCCAGGGUUCCCUCUUGAGAAUCUUAGACCUUCUAGACCAUGCUGCUUCAGCUAGUUUCUGAUUUCUUUAAACUGCUUAUUUUUUUACAUUUUAUCUAGACUUUCUGUUUUCUCAUGUCUAAUAAGCUACUCCAUCCUAUCUGGUAGCAGAAAUUUUAGUGCAGCAAUUUUAAAAUUGUACAUUUUGGAUGUUACUGGGCUGGAUGUCAUAAAAUCUUUACUGUUAUCCUAAUUUAUAUUUUAAUAACUGAAGAUUAUAUAUUAUUUUGUCAUAUAUGUGUUCUUACUAUUUAUGAAUGUAUGGAGGUAUGUAGUGUAUGUGUAGAUAUGUAUCUGGAAAUGUUUGCACCUUCAGAUCUGUUUACAUAAAUGAGUAAAGUUAAUUCCUGUUAAAUUAAUAUAAGAGGAAUACAAGUGAAAGAGAGAUGAGAGGGGAUACUAACUAGACUAGAGAAAAAACUAACAAAAGUUUUCUCAUUGGUAUUAAGGAGAAACAAGACAUGGAUGGCUCAGUACAAAUAUAUAUUAAACAAGCACUUAUUCUACUGACAGUAAAGCAAUCAUUUUGCCUUUUUACUUAAAGGAUAAUACUGCUACUAAACAUAAAAACAUACUUCCUUCUCUCACAAUAGGGUUGGAAAUACUGAAGUCAUUAUGUUCUGUGCAUUUGUCAUAGCUCUGUACACUUUUGGAGUUUUAGCAGCAGUCUACAUGGCAGAAAAAAAUGUCUCCACCUACUACUGGAUUCUAAUAUUAGUAUUUGGGGGAGUGCUGUUUAGCAAGCCAAUAUAGUCUUUUUUAAAAUGCCACAGAAACAGCAGUUAACCACUAAAUAACUUGGAUGCAAGAUUGGUUAAAGUGUGUAUAAAGCCCCAUCAUAUUUCUCCUCUCAGAGUCGGUAAUAUGGGAUCCUCCUGAGAUAUUUUCAAUCACAAGCAUUUCUGUGCUGACAUCCCAUGAGCAUUGCUGGGUUAGAAUCCAUAUCAAAAGUGAAUUAAGCCUUGUAGGACCAUUCUUUUCUUAAAGUUGAAAUGUUAUUAAACCCAGUAGGAUCACACUAUAAUGUACAGGAGAAGAAAUUGUUAAAGAUUUGGAGUCAGGAAAAACUGUUCCAAACCCUAAUCUGUGGGUUCUUGGGCAAGGUCCUUAAUCUCUGGGAGCCCAGAUUUUCUUACCUGUAAAUGGGAGUUGUACCUCUUUCAUGCAGAUUUACCUUCACAUGUUGGAAGCACAAUGACUAGCACCAUAAAUUCUAAAUAACUGCUCAUUUUCUUUCCUUCAGGUAGAACUCUGAGCCAGCAAAUGAGCCCUAUAGAAGAUGACUGGGAAAAAAUUCAGAAUAGUUAUCCUACCUUAACAACUUUGAAUGACUAUAGAAUGUCCUGGCAAAAUGGAAAUGAACAAAUCCAUAUAGGCUAAAAUUAUCCAUCUAGCUUAUUCCAGCCUGAGAGUAAUACACUGGGGGGUUUCCCCCUUCAACCUGUUAAGUUGUCUCUAAAUUUUCAUGAAGUUAUAUCUGCAUGAACUGGGUGGCUUUGUUUCUGUAUUCAAUAUGUAUGAAUUUUAAGUGAGUUUUCUUAUGUUAUUACAGGAAAAAAAAUUACAUAAUCUUAACCCAUUUACCUGCAUGAGUAGUGCAUUUCAAUUGGAAUUAACUAAUGCUUUGAACUAAUUAAUUAAUCUGUCUUUUUUAAAAAGUGUCCAAAAUGUGCAUGAACAAAGACAGCAUACGCCAUGCUUUACAAUACAUAUUAAACAGGAUGUUUUUCAGGAGAAGGAAGUUGCCUUUCUGAAAUAGUAGAAAACGCUAAUUAGUUUCAAUUUAUUUCUUAAAUGAGUUUUAUAAAACUGACACACAGAUUAAAAGAUUCAUGCUUUUG
rnacentral:sRNA from 1 species